AACUUCUGUACUCAAGUGAUCUGCCCACCUCAACCUCCCAAAGUGUUGGGAUUACAGGUGUGGGCCACCACAUCCAGGCUUCAAUUACUUGUUUCACUCAGUGUUCAUCUAAGGAAACAGAACUACUAUGAAGUAAUGCGUUCUCAGGUCAGAGACUAUGAAAGUCCCUGCCCUCAGGGAGUACUCAGACUGGUGAACAACAGACAAGGUGACCAGCAAUUCCAGGAUGGUAUGGAUUUGCUGUAUAAAGAAUGAUGACUUCACCAGGCCACCUUACUUCCAUAAAAGCUUGUGAUGCUCACAGACUGUCAAGCAGGAAUGUGCUGGGUAUUCUAGUCUUAAAGAAGGUGUAGGAGACAUGUACAUGUCUGGCCAGAGAUUGUCAAAGACUCUCAGAGUCUUUGGCCAACACUGACUCUGAGAGCCUCAAAUAAGUGAUGAAUCAAGUAGAAAGAAAUUGGGAGGACACAAGAAAGAGCUCGUCGGGGGCCACAGGCAGCUAAUGCAGCCAGUGACAGAAUAGAGGAAAUGCAGCAUAACCCCCAACUCCAGGAUCUAGGGCCUAAAGGCCAGAGCCACUCCCUGUAAUCAUGCAGAACUCGCCCACCUUCUCUGUAAGAGGGUUGCUGGGUCCUUCAGACUCGCCCCUGCUUCCGCCUGCCCCACCCUCACAUCCUGGGACUGCACCGCACUUCCACUAAUCCGAACCCUCCUGCCCUCCCAGAGUCUUGAACCGCUGCUUCUGAGCUCCAUGUAGCUGGUGAAAGGAGGCUGCCUUGGGCUCUUUGGGGGCCUCCUGUCUUCAGUGAUGAUUCUCUGCAGCUCAGCUCCUCUCCCCAUGUAACUGAUCCCAGUCCUCUGGUUCUGUCAGCACCUCUGCUGUGUACACUAUGACAUGUGUGAGUUCCCAGCUGGGUGGGAACCCUGAGUGAGGUGUGAGUUUCCUCCCAAGCCACUGAAGUUGGCUUUCUGCAGUAAGCCAGACACUUGGGCUCUGCUGGUCUUAGAAACAGUGUUUUCACUACAUGGUCAGGGAGAAGGGAUCCCCUAAGUCUUCAAAUUGAUCUCUCUGCUCCCCCAUCUUUUCCCACCUCAAUUCUGCUUGUACCCAUGGAAUUACUAUACAUUAAAACAUAAUGCUAAA